rnacentral:rRNA from 1 species
UGUUAGACUUGGGACCGGGAGAGGUAAGAGGUACUGCAGGGGUAGGAGUGAAAUCUUGUAAUCCCUGUGAGACCACCAGUGGCGAAGGCGUCUUACCAGAACGGGUCCGACGGUGAGGGACGAAAGCUGGGGGCACGAACCGGAUUAGAUACCCGGGUAGUCCCAGCUGUAAACGAUGCUCGUUAGGUGUCAGGAACGGUGCGACUGUUUCUGGUGCCGAAGGGAAGCCGUGAAACGAGCCACCUGGGAAGUACGGCCGCAAGGCUGAAACUUAAAGGAAUUGGCGGGGGAGCACUACAACGGGUGGAGCCUGCGGUUUAAUUGGACUCAACGCCGGAAAACUCACCGGGGGCGACAGCAGUAUGUAGGUCAGGUUAAAGGUCUUACCUGAAUCGCUGAGAGGAGGUGCAUGGCCGUCGUCAGUUCGUACUGUGAAGCAUCCUGUUAAGUCAGGCAACGAGCAAGACCCGUGCCCACUGUUACCAGCAUAUCCUUUAUGGAUGAUGGGGACUCUGUGGGGACCGCUGCUGCUAAAGCAGAGGAAGGUGCGGGCUACGGUAGGUCAGUAUGCCCCGAAUCUCCCGGGCUACACGCGGGCUACAAUGGUUGGGACAAUGGGUAUCUACUCCGAAAGGAGUUGGCAAUCUCUUAAACCCAAUCGUAGUUCGAAUUGAGGGCUGUAACUCGCCCUCAUGAAGCUGGAAUCCGUAGUAAUCGCGUUUCAACAUA